rnacentral:rRNA from 1 species
GAUGAACGCUGGCGGCGUGCCUAAUACACGCAAGUCGAGCGAACGGACGAGAAGCUUGCUUCUCUGAUGUUAGCGGCGGACGGGUGAGUAACACGUGGAUAACCUACCUAUAAGACUGGGAUAACUUCGGGAAACCGGAGCUAAUACCGGAUAAUAUUUUGAACCGCAUGGUUCAAAAGUGAAAGACGGUCUUGCUGUCACUUAUAGAUGGAUCCGCGCUGCAUUAGCUAGUUGGUAAGGUAACGGCUUACCAAGGCAACGAUGCAUAGCCGACCUGAGAGGGUGAUCGGCCACACUGGAACUGAGGCACGGUCCAGACUCCUACGGGAGGCAGCAGUAGGGAAUCUUCCGCAAUGGGCGAAAGCCUGACGGAGCAACGCCGCGUGAGUGAUGAAGGUCUUCGGAUCGUAAAACUCUGUUAUUAGGGAAGAACAUAUGUGUAAGUAACUGUGCACAUCUUGACGGUACCUAAUCAGAAAGCCACGGCUAACUACGUG